ensembl:lncRNA
UUAAGCAACCUCAUUGACUUUGAUCAACCUUUGUAAUUGCCGGUGAAGAUCCUUCAGCUUUUGCAAUUGCACCUCUUUAUAUAUAUAUAUAAAGAAAGAAGAUAAUUCCACUUUUCCCUACUCCCUGGCUACAUUAUGAACCAUCUGACUAACAGAUUUAGCUGGUAUGCUAAACAAACAUAUGCCUCUGACCCUCUUUAAAUGGAAGCUUUUGAAACAACAGGGGCAGGGGUACAGUGCGUUGACUUCACCAACUCGCAGCAUGUGCACACUUUUGUGUAAAUCACUCUCUUUUACAGUCUCUGCGUGUGGGAAUGCAGUAAAGAGUGAGGGAUAAGAAAUGCAAUGCGACCCACGUCUGGCUCUCGUAGAAUGGCUCGAAUUUAAACCUUUGAGCGAAAAGACCAUUUUGAGACACUGAGACACAUGUGUUUGCACAUAAAUUACCAUGUAUGCAUGCAUACGCACGCACAGGCAACAAACAAAAAACACACCCAAGGAUGGUGAGUGUUAACUACGCAUGCAAGCUCGCAUCCACUUAGACAUUCGCUCACACACAUAAAUAAGCACUGUUUUACAAGCACACACACACACACACACACACACACACACACACACAUCUGCCAUUGCAAUUCACAUGAUCAUUGCCUUUAUGUGAAUGAGACAGGGAAUUGCAGAAUGGCAGAAGCGGAGGCCUCAUAUUAGCCGUGCUGUCAGAGCCGGUGAGCAAAGGAUAACAUUAACAUGAGCGCUGCUGCUCCCCCUGUGUGCAUCAACGCCAGAGCUCAGUAGGUGCACGGCCGUAAGCAGUGUCCGCCAGCCUUUUCGUUAAGUCAAUGAUAAACUGCUUUUAUUAGUUACCUUUUUACAGCGUGCUUUCGCUGAGAGUUGAGGUUUCUUUGUCAAUACUGGCAAUAAUGCAGCCUCCAAUUAACUUAUAAAACCUUCCCGGACUCCUUUGUCACUCCUUUGAGAAGGGAAAACGGCCAAGGUUUGGCUCACUAAAAAAAACAAAUGACAGCCUACAAAACAAAUGUGGCACUACAAUCGGGUAUUAAAAGGCUUGACAUUUACCAUGCCUCAUUUAAAUGGUCGCCCGUACUCAGCUCAUUGGCAGCCCCCCAUUACACUGGGUAGAGCAGGAGUGCGAAGGCCGGGGCUGGGCCGGGCAGAGAGAGUGGGGCGAGACGUUAACGGCCUGUGGGAGGAUAGUUCUGUAGAUGAAUGAACACCUGGAUUAAUGGGGUCAUUGAGCACCAAGCUGCUGAGAAAGGAGAAUCCCAGCCAAGGCAGCCAUUUUACUUUUACUGCAUGUGUCAUGGACCGUUUUCCUCUGCUGGUUUUAGAGGGGGCAGCAGCAGGGUCCCAUGGGGUACAAGAGAGCAAAGAAAGGACAUUUUGGACCAGAGUACUUUUGUAUUGGACAUGAGCAGUAGGGGCGCUGGUUAUACAGUUCUGAUUUCAUGAACCCAAGAGCAUUUUAGUGAUGCAUCCAGAUUUCUUCAAUUUCUUCAAAAAAUAGAAAAGUAAUGAAUUGAUCUGGAAGUGAACGCACCUGAACCUUCCUAAAGUUCUAUCAUUGUGAAAAGAUUUACCGUCUUCACAUUCGCACCUGUGUCUUGGUCGUGAUAUUUUAACAAAUCACUUAACAAAAUACGCACUUUUGUCUUUUGGGAAUACCGUUCUAAUAGAAAACCUCGACUCCUCUGAGAAAGUGAUUUCCAACGUGAGCUAAACAGGGAAGGUGCCGGCCCUUUAAACUGAGCUCCGAGAGCUUGGCAGGCUAAUAGAUGCAGUCUAAAGGUGCUCGUGGAUGGCAACCAGAAAAAAAUGGUCUUAUCUGAAAAGGUCCAGGACAGUUAUAAAUGAAAUAAUGGGGCUGAGCACAUUAAUCCAUGUUCAUGCCUUAGGGGGAGACCUCGGCUUACCAUUUGAUCUGUGUGUGAGUGCAUGUAUACAGAUCUGUGUGUGUGUGUGUGUGUGUGUGUGUGCAUGUAUAUUUGCAUUUGCAAGUUACUAAUCCAUUUCAUUCAUUUGUUCCCCUCCUUCAAUCAUUUUCUUUUAAAAUAAACAGCAAUUGUUUCAUUACACUUUCGAACUUGCCUUUACUCAGUCCAUGAAAAAAAGGAAAGAGAGGGAGGAGGGUGAAAUUGAGUGAGCGAUAGAAACAAAGAAGGAAAA